UUAACUUUGGGUGUUAAGCACAUUAAAUUUUGAUUUUAAAGGUAGCGAUUAUAAGCGUUAAAGUUAAU
rnacentral:tRNA from 1 species